rnacentral:misc_RNA from 1 species
GAUGAAGAACGCAGCGAAAUGCGAUACGUAAUGUGAAUUGCAGAAUUCAGUGAAUCAUCGAGUCUUUGAACGCACAUUGCGCCCCUUGGUAUCCCGAGGGGCAUGCCUGUUCGAGCGUCAUUUCACCACUCAAGCCUGGCUUGGUGUUGGGCGACGUCCUCUUUGGGGACGCGCCUCGAAACGCUCGGCGGCGUGGCACCGGCUUUAAGCGUAGCAGAAUCUUUCGCUUUGGAAGUCGGGGCCCCGUCUGCCGGAAGACCUGCUCGCAAGGUUGACCUCGGAUCAGGCAGGGAUACCCGCUGAACUUAAGCAUAUCAAUAAGCGGAGGA